rnacentral:misc_RNA from 1 species
AACUUUUAACAACGGAUCACUUGGCUCUCGCAUCGAUGAAGAACGUAGCGAAGUGCGAUAAGUAAUGUGAAUUGCAGAAUUCCGUGAAUCAUCGAAUCUUUGAACGCAAAUUGCACUUUCUGGUAUUCCGGAAAGUAUGCCUGUUUGAGGGUCAGUUAAAUAAAAAUCGGUGUUGUUGCUGCCCUUCGUGGUGACGCGUCGGAAUUGGGUCGUCUUACCUUCGGUUAAGUGACUUAAAAUUUUGCAUGAUUUUUUGAACGUAUUUAAAUUGCUUACGUACGUUUGAGAUAUCGAAUAUAUUAGGUUCGGUCAUCCUCAUGACUCGCGCCUAUAAUUUUUCAUUAAAUGACCUCAAAUCAGGUAAGAAUACCCGCUGAACUUAAGCAUAUCAAUAAGCGGAGG